UUACGGUCAAAUCACGCUGAAACAUCGGUUCUCGUACGAUCACCGAAGUUAAGCAGCGUAGAGCCAGGUGAGUACUUAGAUGGGGGACCGCUUGGGAACACCUGGUACUGUAAG
rnacentral:rRNA from 1 species